UGCUCAGGCGGAUAUGUAAGUCAGAGGUGAAACUCCGAAGCUUAACUUCGGAACUGCCUUUGAUACUGCAGAUCUGGAGUUUGAGAGAGGGUAAUGGAAUAUCUGGUGUAGCAGUGAAAUGCGUAAAUAUCAGAUAGAACACCAAUGGCGAAGGCAGUUACCUGGCUCAACACUGACGCUAAAGCACGAAAGUGUGGGGAGCGAACAGGAUUAGAUACCCUGGUAGUCCACACCCUAAACGAUGAAUACUAGAUGUUGGUUUUUUUAAAGAUCAGUAUCUGAGCUAACGCAUUAAGUAUUCCACCUGGGAAGUACGAUCGCAAGGUUAGAA
rnacentral:rRNA from 1 species